rnacentral:rRNA from 1 species
UACGGGGGGGGCAAGCGUUGUUCGGAAUUACUGGGCGUAAAGGGCUCGUAGGCGGCCAACUAAGUCAGACGUGAAAUCCCUCGGCUUAACCGGGGAACUGCAUCUGAUACUGGAUGGCUUGAGUUCGGGAGAGGGAUGCGGAAUUCCAGGUGUAGCGGUGAAAUGCGUAGAUAUCUGGAGGAACACCGGUGGCGAAGGCGGCAUCCUGGACCGACACUGACGCUGAGGCACGAAAGCUGGGGGAGCGAACAGG